ensembl:lncRNA
AAAGUGCUCUUUUAGCUGAACUUUUGAAACUGUCCGGAGUCUCUAAGUCCCGUACCACCACGUACCAUCCCAUGGGGAAUGGAGGGACCGAAAGGUUCAACCGUACAUUAGGUACCAUGUUGAGAGCACUCCCCCUUCAAGAAAAACACAAGUGGCCUGAACAGGUCCAGACUCUAACAUUUGCAUACAAUGCGACAGUACACGAGACAACAGGGUAUGCCCCGUUCCAGCUAAUGUUUGGCCGCAUCCCGAGACUUCCCGUCGAUGUUAUGUUCAAGCAAGUGUUGCAUGAUCCUGUGGUCGUUGACCAUGACAGCUAUGCAAAGUCACUCAUGUCGUACCUUCACGAAGCGGCUAGUAUCGCACAGAAGCACACUGCCAAAGAGCAACAGAAGCAGGCUGAAGGUUACAACAGAAGGGUCAAAGGAAUGCAUCUUAACCUAGGAGACAGAGUGCUUAUCGCAAACAAGGGAGAACGUGGAAAACGGAAACUUGCUGACAAGUGGGAUCCAAAAGUCUACACAGUGAAAGACAGGAAUCUUCAGACUAAUGUGUAUAAGCUCGUGGAUGAUGCUGGAAAUCGUAGAGUUGUUCAUCGCAAUCUGGUCUUGGACAUCAGCUUUCUGCCUGUGAAAUCAGUCGACGAAGCAGUGGAUGACGACCAGUCCAGUACUGAACAUCCUGAGGAUGAGUCCUGUUCCUUAAACCCCUUUGAAACUUCUGGGCAUGACAACUCACAUGAGCCCUGGAUAUCUGAUGAUUCUACUGAUGCACGGAGUCUCAUGUCCUCUGAUGACAUAGUAACAGAAGUUGAUGAUCUGAAUCAAGAGAAUGACGAACCCAGUGUUCAAGAGCAUAUAGAGAAUGAAAUAGACAGCAGUAACUCACAUAGCACUUGUGCAGAUUCUUCUGAUCGAGAUUCAGAUUUAUUAGAUGUACCAGAUACAGGCAUUUCAGAUACUGCUAAUUUACCAAUAAACAUUGGUACUAACAUGCCACCAAAUACCAGUGACACACAAAACAUUGUCAGAUCUCGUACAGGUAGGGUUGUAAAAAGAGUCAGCCGUCUGAUCGAAUCUAUGGUUCAAAAAAAGCUUUUAGUGUCGAGAGUUUUGCUAUGACGGCCAAUAAGAAAUCUCAGUCCCUUUUAAAUGUUUACUAAAACUGUUUAUUUUGUAGGGAUUAAGCACUAACUGUUUAUUUAGUUUCAUUGUAAUCCUGAGUUUCAAAGACAUAAGUAGGGCCAGGUUCACAUAUGAUGUACAAGGCAUCAUAUAGUUCCAGGAAAGGUCUAAGGCCUGAUCAACCUUGGGUUAAUCUUGACCUGUUUAGCAGGUAGCUCAUACAGCUGAAUUAUUGAAGAAUAAGAUUUUUCAUUGGCCUGUGCCAGCUAUGACAAGUUUCAGAUGAGUAAAGAAAUACGUUCUUAGAGCCAUCUGAUCAGGAUUUUAGUGAAAUUCUAGGGGAGGUGAAUGUAGCGGAUGAGAAUAUAAAUAAUAUUUUAUUAUUUCAUUCCACAUAAAAUCCUUCUCUAAUUAUCUUUGUUA